UACGUAGGGUGCGAGCGUUAAUCGGAAUUACUGGGCGUAAAGCGUGCGCAGGCGGCUUUGUAAGUCAGAUGUGAAAUCCCCGAGCUCAACUUGGGAACUGCGUUUGAAACUACAAGGCUAGAAUAUGUCAGAGGGGGGUAGAAUUCCACGUGUAGCAGUGAAAUGCGUAGAGAUGCGGAGGAAUACCAAUGGCGAAGGCAGCCCCCUGGGAUAAUAUUGACGCCCAUGCACGAAGGCGUGGGGAGCAAUCAGG
rnacentral:rRNA from 1 species